GCCCUAAUGGCUCAAUGGUAGAGCGCGUCACUAGUAAGCAUUGGUGAAAUGACGAGGUUCUUGGUUCGAUUCCAAGUUAGGGCA
rnacentral:tRNA from 1 species